rnacentral:rRNA from 1 species
AGAACGAACGCUGGCGGCAUGCCUAACACAUGCAAGUCGAACGAGAUCUUCGGAUCUAGUGGCGCACGGGUGCGUAACGCGUGGGAAUCUGCCUUUCGGUACGGAAUAACUCAUGGAAACGUGUGCUAAUACCGUAUGAUGUCGCGAGACCAAAGAUUUAUCGCCGAGAGAUGAGCCCGCGUAGGAUUAGCUAGUUGGUGGGGUAAAGGCCUACCAAGGCGACGAUCCUUAGCUGGUCUGAGAGGAUGAUCAGCCACACUGGGACUGAGACACGGCCCAGACUCCUACGGGAGACAGCAGUGGGGAAUAUUGGACAAUGGGCGCAAGCCUGAUCCAGCAAUGCCGCGUGAGUGAUGAAGGCCUUAGGGUUGUAAAGCUCUUUUACCCGGGAAGAUAAUGACUGUACCGGGAGAAUAAGCCCGGCUAACUCCGUGCCAGCAGCCGC